rnacentral:rRNA from 1 species
AUUGAACGCUGGCGGCAGGCCUAACACAUGCAAGUCGAACGGUAACAGGAAACAGCUUGCUGUUUCGCUGACGAGUGGCGGACGGGUGAGUAAUGUCUGGGAAACUGCCUGAUGGAGGGGGAUAACUACUGGAAACGGUAGCUAAUACCGCAUAACGUCGCAAGACCAAAGAGGGGGACCUUCGGGCCUCUUGCCAUCGGAUGUGCCCAGAUGGGAUUAGCUAGUAGGUGGGGUAACGGCUCACCUAGGCGACGAUCCCUAGCUGGUCUGAGGGGAUGACCAGCCACACUGGAACUGAGCCACGGUCCAGACUCCUACGGGAGGCAGCAGUGGGGAAUAUUGCACAAUGGGCGCAAGCCUGAUGCAGCCAUGCCGCGUGUAUGAAGAAGGCCUUCGGGUUGUAAAGUACUUUCAGCGGGGAGGAAGGGAGUAAAGUUAAUACCUUUGCUCAUUGACGUUACCCGCAGAAGAAGCACCGGCUAACUCCGUGCCAGCCGCCGCAGUAA